rnacentral:rRNA from 1 species
UACAGAGAGUGCAAACGUUGUUCGGAAUUACUGGGCUUGAAGCGCACGUAGGCGGCGUUGUAAGUGUCGGGUGAAAUCCCACGGCUCACCCGUGGAACUGCCCGGCAUACUGCGAUGCUAGAGUGUGGUAGGGGAGAGCGGAACUCCUGGUGGAGCGGUGAAAUGCGUAGAUAUCAGGAGGAACACCAAUGGCGAAGGCAGCUCUCUGGGACGGUACUGACACUGAGACGCGAAAGCGUGGGGAGCGAACAGG